UACGUAGGGUGCAAGCGUUAUCCGGAAUUAUUGGACGUAAAGAGCUCGUAGGCGGUUUGUCGCGUCUGCUGUGAAAACCUGAGGCUCAACCUCGGGCCUGCAGUGGGUACGGGCAGACUAGAGUGCGGUAGGGGAGAAUGGAAUUCCUGGUGUAGCGGUGGAAUGCGCAGAUAUCAGGAGGAACACCGAUGGCGAAGGCAGCUCGCUGGGACGUAACUGACGCUGAGACGCGAAAGCGUGGGGAGCAAACAGG
rnacentral:rRNA from 1 species